rnacentral:rRNA from 1 species
AACUCGCCUACAUGAAGCUGGAAUUGCUAGUAAUCAUAGGUCAGCAUACUAUGGUGAAUACGUUCCCGGGCCUUGUACACACCGCCCGUCACACCAUGAGAGUUGAGAAUACCCGAAGUCCAUGUUAAAGUGGCCGAAGGUAGGCUUGAUGAUUGGGGUGAAGUCGUAACAAGGUAUC